rnacentral:rRNA from 1 species
CCUACGGGGGGCAGCAGUGGGGAAUCUUAGACAAUGGGGGCAACCCUGAUCUAGCCAUGCCGCGUGAUCGAUGAAGGCCUUAGGGUUGUAAAGAUCUUUCAGAUGGGAAGAUAAUGACGGUACCAUCAGAAGAAGCCCCGGCUAACUCCGUGCCAGCAGCCGCGGUAAUACGGAGGGGGCUAGCGUUAUUCGGAAUUACUGGGCGUAAAGCGCACGUAGGCGGAUUGGAAAGUUGGAGGUGAAAUCCCAGGGCUCAACCUUGGAACUGCCUUCAAAACUCCCAGUCUUGAGGUCGAGAGAGGUGAGUGGAAUUCCGAGUGUAGAGGUGAAAUUCGUAGAUAUUCGGAGGAACACCAGUGGCGAAGGCGGCUCACUGGCUCGAUACUGACGCUGAGGUGCGAAAGCGUGGGGAGCAAACAGGAUUAGAUACCCCAGUAGUC